GCAGAGGGCAGACAUCCCAUGCCUAUGCAAAAGGGUCACCCCGGAAGUAGAGAAGGUGUGGUGCAUGGAGAAGGUCGUGUAUGUCGCCAACUACUGCAAGAAGCCUUUUACACCUGGCUACAAGUGCGGGAGUAAGUUAACACUUAGCAUAUAUACAUACUGUUAUCCAAGUUGAUGCGGAUUAUUGUUGUAUGGUGUACAUGACUACUCCAAGCGUGACUGAUUUUGUAUAUUGGUUGGUUUUUGCAGGUUAUACGGUUCCUAAAAGCCUCUAAAUAGAGCAUUUGGACAUGCAUGGUACUCUAUACUGAAGCUUGCAUUUGAGAUUUGUAACAUGUGAGGGAGUGAGGGACUAUGUUGAGGAGAAUAAUGUGUAUCGAGUACUUUGUAUGAAAAGCGUUGGAGAAUUGAUAAUGUUUGGCUUUUAUCUUACUGCUUCCUUGGUCUUGCUUUUUUUAUGGAAGAAUUCUAUGUGAUACAACGUGGGGCUGCAUUAAUAAUUUACACUACUGCAUAAAUCAUGGAGGUGGGCAAAAAGGGUUAAUGGAGACGGGCAAUACAACAGCCUCCAAUUGAUGUCCUUGGUUAAUCGUCGAUUAACGGAGGCGGUUGCUUUGUAUGUCUUCGUAAAUCAAACAGAAAGAAUAAAAAACAAAAACACGUGAACAGGCCCGCCGAGCCCAUCCAUGGACUGCCGUUGCCGCAGCCAUUCACCGGAACCUAGAUUGCACGCACCGUCGGGAUCCGACCUCCCGCUGCCGGAUCAAGAUGCCCGCUGCCUGGAUCCGGCCUCCUGCUGCUGGAUCGAGACGCCACCGCCGUGAUCCGGCCUCCCACUGCCGAAUCAAGAUGCCUGCUGUUGGAUUUAGAGGUGGUGGGGAAGGGAGAGCAGCCCUCCGUCGGGUGGGGGAGCAACACGCCGCCGGGGCUAGCCACCACUGAGACACGUUCACACCGCCUCUGUCUGCACCACCGGGGCCACCUCUGUCCAUGCUUUGAGCUUGUCCCCUUGGCCUCUAGAUCAUCUCCGCUCGGCAUUACACUUAGAGCUCGUCCCGCAGGGGCUAGCCACGUCCACGUCGCCUGGGCCAGCCGCCCGCGUCAGCUAGGGCAAAGAGAGGGGAAGAGGGAGAGUGGUCGCUGGAGGGAGGGAGAGGGGUGUGCAGCUCAGUGGAGGGAGGGAGAGGAGCACGUGGCUCGGGAGGGAGAUCACCGUGCUUCAGACACUGAGGGAGCGAGGGGAGGUGCUGAGUGAGAGAGAGAUGAGUGAGGGAUUGGAGAUGGGCUAGGUUUUAUUUGAUAUAUAUACUAGGAUGUUGUUGUUGAGCCAAGAUGGGUUAAGAAGGACUAUGAGUUGGCUUGGGUACUCCAAAAAUGGCUUGAUCUUUGGAGAAGGCCCUCCACUAUAAAUCUAUUUUAGAAGGCAGUUACUUUGUUGCCUGCCUCUAUUAAUCGAUUUUACGAUUUUACAAGGCGGACAAAUGUGACUGCCUCGGUAAAUAAAAUUAACCACCUCCGUUAAUUAUAGCCUAGUAUUUUAGGAGGCGGUUGAAUUUUGUGCUCGUCUCCACUAAUAUUUGGGCACUGUCACCUAAAUUUUUUUUGUAUAGUAGUGUUACUACCUUCAUCCCAAUAUUAAUAAACUUAUAAAGGUGUCCUAAGCCAAACUAUUUUAAGUUUAACAAAAUUUUGUAGAAAAACACUAAUGUUUAUAACACAAAGUUGGUGUCAAAGCAAACAAAAUUAAUUAGGAUACAUAUUAUUAGUGAUUUUAACUCAUAGCAAAUAUGAUAUGAUGGUGUUGCAACAGAACAAAAACAUAAACUCUACUGCACGUUGUGUCGUGUGGUUACCACCAUGCUUGGACCUUUAGUCAUUGUCGACAAUCUUGUCAACCAGAUUUGCGUUUGCAAGGACCUGUUGUUGGCAUUGUUGAAAUCCUUCUUGCAGUCCCCGCAAAAAAAGAAAAAAGAAGAAAUCCUUCUUGCAGAGCUGUCGGUGUGUAGGACAAUGGCCCCUCUCUUCGCGAGCGCUGCUGCGUGGCAUCAAUGGCUACGGGGAAGUUGAUGUCGUUUGUGAUUUUGGCGCCCUUGUCAAGGUACGCGUUGAGAAAGAAGAGAUAUAUCUCUGGCAAUAAGCCGAGAAAGUCUAUGCGCGUAGAACCUAACAAAUUACAGCAUUGAUCAGUGUACCCACACUAGAUGCAUGCAUCAGGGUUGAUUAAAGACUGCUCUGGAUUGCUGGCACCAGAGAAUUCGAAGCAUUGCUGGCUCCUCCUCCGCGUGUGACACGCGUCACUAGAUGUUUUACAAAAAAGCCCUCUAUCUUUAGGAAAUCAACCCGCCGUCCAAUAUAUGAAUGAAUAUAUCAUUUCUACACAGUUAUCACAUUUUGCAGAAACCCCUUCAAAGCUUUUCAAAGAGCCCCCUGCAGCAGCGUCCCUAGCCCUAGGCGCUGCGCCCUGCGCCUCCUUCCCACUCCCUCUCUUUUUCUCUCUUCCCACCGCCGCCGCACCAUGUGCUUUCCAAUGCUCGCCCUUCUCGCUUCCGCCACUCAGAGCGUGUGGAUGUGUCCAAUUACUCAGUUAUGUUUGGCACACAAGCAGGGAGCCUCCGCGGCGCACACGCUUGUCUCCACCACCCCAAAGGCAGGCAGCCGGGCUCCCCGUUCGCAAUGAGAAGCAGCAUCUCACAUUCCUCUAGGCCCCAUCAACACCUCUUCCUCCAGAUCUGGCGUGAUGGUGAUGACGACUGCUUCCACCAAAUCCGAUUUAUGUCGUGUCCAUCUUGAACUCGUUGGUUUGGUAAGUGUCAUCCCUCCUACACGCAAUGCAUCCCUAUUCAAUCCAUCCAUCCUCUCUUUACCUCGAUUCUGAUCUAGGUGCUUCGAAUAUGGCGUGGAUCUAAAGGCAUGGCGUUCGGCUCCGGCGAGCUGCCUCAUAUGCGUCAGCGGUAGAGGAGCUCAUGAUGUGUUCGUGAGAUUCUGUGGAUCUUUGGACAUUAGUACUAUAUAAUGUCCUCUUUGUUUAGUCAAAAUAUUCUGGUGGACUAUGAGUUUCCCUACUCUAUAGCAUGCAUAGUAGAGAAUAUAUCUAAUACUGGCUAGGUUGUGCUUCUAUAUUUGUUUUGCUCCUGUUGUUCACCGGAUGUAUUUUUUGGCUUUAGUUUUAUGGCAUGUGUACAAAAGAUUUGUCAUAUUAUCUGGUUAUAUAUGUUUAUUAGUUGUAGUCUUGCCGCACUGUCCGAGUUCUAUGGAAAUUAAAUGCCUUGCUUCUAGAUUUCUAAUUUAUGUGAGUUGGAGAGAUGUGUCAGCUAGGUUUUACCUCACCGCUCAGAUGUGGUGGCUAAUAUUCUACUUUGACUUGCAGGAAAGGAAGAUAUCUUUGGUGUCAACUGCUGGGCAAAGCUUGAGAUUGGCUGACUACUGUUGUCUUCUGUUUGCAGCGUCCUCCAACCAUAGGUUCAGUUCCUUGUCUGCUGCAGCCCCUGCUUUAACGAUGGUUGUGUGCUUCAGAUGUAUUAUGAACCAAGCUCAGGUUUCAGGUUUUACUUUACUGAAACUUUCAGUUGCAUGUACGGUGUAGCUGAUUUUUUAUUCACAUUAAAUUUUAUGUGUGAUCAGUUUGCUGCACUAAUUAUAUAAACAUACUCUUAGAGAUAACUUGUGUUUGAUUAUGGAAUACUAAUUGAUAUAAUUAAUUUGGGAAUUUCAUAUCAAGAUUUCUCUUUGGAAGAAUGAAUAUCAGGAUUGUGGUAGCUUGAUUCGUUCACUUUUCUUUGCACUGUAGCACACUUGCACAUCCUCUGAUUUUUCUAUAGAUGCUAUUGAUGCCAUAGUUCCUACUUUAGACUGCUUCCUCACAAUUCAUCUAUAUAGCCUUCUUGAUCCACCCCCAAUGCUCUGCCCUUGGUUUAAGGAACUAAAUGAUAUCAUUGUGUAUGUAGCAUGCAUCGGCGAAAUUCAACUUAGAUAACACGUAAUGUUAUUUUUUUUGGGAUUAACGCAUUUCAUCUCUGCCAAAACAUAUGUUAGAAAAAAAUUCCCUAAGACAUUUAUGUGGAAGUUUAUAUCAUGAUCUAGCUGUUUGAAUUGAUGUUGCUUCCUAGCUUUACUUUGAUUUCAAUAAAGAAUAAUCAACAUGGUCAAUUAUUCUUUUGUUGGGAGAACACUACUACAUAAAAUAUUUUGCAUGACCAAGGGAGGCGGGCAGAUUUUUCAAAACAGCCUCGGAGGCGGGCAGAUUUUUCAACCGCGUCGGAUAAUGUCUCCGAUUAACCGAUUCUUAUUAACCGAGACGGUCAUAAAAAACCGCCUCGCAAAAUCGAUUUACCAAGGCGGUCACCUUAAGACAACCGUCUCCAAAAAUAGUAUAUUUUAGGAGGCGGUUGUCUUAUAACAACCGCCUUCGUAAAUCUAUUAACCGAGGCGGGCGCGCUAUACGGCCCGUUUGAGAAAAUAGUGGCCCAACAGGCAGCCCAUCUUAGCCCAGUAUCACUCAUCAUAUAUAAACGUAGAGCAAGGGUUUCUUCUCCCUCUCACUCCCUCCCUCAGACCAACGCCGGCCCCUUCCCCUCCCCUUCUCUCAUUAGAUCCAGCAGCGCCGGCCCCUUCCCCUCCCCUCCUCUCUAGAUUCAGCGGCUCCCCCUCCCGGCCUCCCCUCCCCUCCCCUUCUUUCCUACUCUCUUUGGAUUCAGCGGCGCACGAGGAUGGCCAUGGCCUAGGCCCACGCACGGGGGUCCUUCAAGGUGGCGCAUGGGGCGGCCAUGGAGCGGGGGCUCCUCCUGGCCGUGCGUGGGGCGGCCCAGCGCCUCCCGGCUGCAAUGCAGGGUGGCUCGACCAUCCUGGCAGCGUGGAGCAGCAGCGGUGGCGGCCAUGGCUCUGCUCGAUGCUCACGCGCCCAACGAUUCCUCCACCUCUAGGUCACACGUCGGCGGUCUCGGGGCUCGCGUAUCUGGCCUCGGUGCUCAUGGAUCCAGCGAGGUUGUCAGUGGCAACGAGUGACAACAACGGCCCGUGGAUGGGCUUGGCAGGUGACUUGAUGGGCUUGUCGGGCCUGUCUAUGGGUUUUCUAUUUUUUUGUUUUUUGUUUGAUUAACCGAGGCGGGCACUUUAACCGCCUCGGAAAAGGUUUCAUUUAGUGUGACCUUUCGUUCGAGGCGGUUGCAUUGUCCGCCUCGGUUAAUCAUUUUUGCCUGCCUCGGUUAAUUUUUUGUGUAGUAGUGAAAUCUAUAGUUCCUGCUCUUGGCAUAAUUAACCCAAGGUAAUCAGCAGUCUACUACUUUCCAUGCUUUGGGGCCUACAUAUGGGUCCAUGCUAGGCUGUCAGAGUUCACACUUAGCAAGAGCCAUACUAAGCCUAUGAACUAUCUGUAUCCCUUAUUAUGGCCCUGGGCCCUGUUGUUGGUCCUGGUGCAACAAGUUUUGUUAGACAUAGCUGUGAUUGUGUGUAUCUAUUAUUGUUUCCUAUUUCUGCACCUUGGAGUGGCAUUUUUUCUAACCCUCCCAUUGUAGCAAAACACAGCUAAUGGAGCAACACAUGGACCAGGAAGCAUGUUUUUUUAACGAUGGUGAUGGUAGUAAAACUAGAAUUUUCUUUUUGCCAUAGUCAGCAUUGCAUCAGAUAACUUGGAAGCAAAACUUCAUUAUACCAAUGCAGGUAUGUGCGCUAAGUGAAAUUUGAUGAAUUUACUAUCUUGAAUACUAAUAAGGUGUGCAGUUUUGUAGUUUGGACUUUCGCUGUGAGAGAUUAGUGAACUUGUUGCUGCAUGCCAGAUGUUUACAAGGUCGUUACACUGAUGACAGUAGAACCUGCAACUUGUCUAGCGUGUACUUUAUUUAGCUCGGAUGUACAGAGAAAAGCUUUGUCCGUAUAAGAUUAUGUAAUAUUACCCUCAACGAUAAACAAUGAACAAACAAUUGUGAAUGAGAAUUUGUUGACAAUGUCUAAAAUAAUGUUUUCCAUUUAAACUUAUUUAGAAAAAUGAACCAUUAUGAUUUAUCUUGCUAUCAAUGCAUGAAGCAAUUAUUUGAUCAACCUGAUGAAAUUGAGGCUAUGGAAGAGGAGUCACGCAAGGCAACCGGGUGCCAGAUGUGCUAAAAUUAAGGCUCUGAAGAGAAAUCACGGUAGGUUCGGGCGCCAGAUGUUCUAGUGCAAAUUAAAGCCGUAGGGAAGAAUAGCGUGUUUGCUAGCUGCUUGCCUGCUUGUGCUGCAGCUACAACAUGCUAGCUAGCUAGCGGACGAGUUUUCACUGAAGAUGUACACGUAAAAUUGUAGAUGUCGUGAUGCCUGCGGCCGUCGUCCACAUGUUGCAUGCAUGCACGGGCGAAGCCACGUUGAGGCCACUGGAUGCCGAGGCACCCACUGCAAAACUGUAACUACAUUAGAGUAACUCCUGUUAGAAUAUGUCAAUUGUAUCUAUAGGAUACUCUUCCAUAUAUGUACGAGUUGUAAUUGUAAUCUGUACAAACUCUUGUAUGUUCCCUAUAUAAUGAAAGCAUCGGGAGCCCCUGCUGGUUAUCCCGCUACUGCAUAUCUUUCUAUAUGGUAUCAGCCGCCUAAACUUUCCCAACGGAAAUCUCGAUCCAAUCUACCUCUCUCUACUCCAAUGGCGGCGCCGACCUCUUCUGCCACCGCUCCUCUCGCCUUUGGCCUUCUUCCUGUUGUUUCAGAGAAGCUUACCCGCGGCAAUUAUAACAUGUGGCACGCCACCGUAUCGUCCGCGCUCAAAGGGGCUCGCCUGGCGGGUUACAUCCUCAAGACCGCGGCGCCGCCCGCAGCGUUCAUCCAAGACGAGGCAUCCACCGUCGACGGCAAGAAGCCGGACCCGGCGCCCAAUCCGGCCUAUGAGAAGUGGGUGGCUGAGGAUCAAAUUGUUCUCAGCUAUCUCUUCUCAUCUCUCUCCAAAGAGAUCUUUGGCCAAGUUGCUACUGCAACAACUGCGGCAGAGUUGUGGGCCGCUAUUCAAGACCUCCAUGCUUCGCAAUCUCGUGCGCGCGUUAUUUCGACGCGGAUGGCUCUCGCCACGGCAACCAAGGGGACGUCAUCCGUGGCAGAAUUCUUUGUCAAGAUGAAGGGCCUUGCUGAUGAUAUGGCUUCAGCGGGUCGCAGGGUGGAAGAUGAAGAACUCGUGGCGUAUAUUCUCACAGGGCUUGGCGACGAGUUUGAGUCCGUUGUGUCUGCUGUCUCCACUCGUGUUGAGCCCAUCUCGGUCAAUGAGCUGUAUGCGCAGCUUGUGGCCUUCGAGCAGCGUAAGGAAAUCCAUGGAGGCGGAUUUCAAUCGUCUGCAAAUCUGGCCACUAAGGGUGGCCUUGGAGGGACUUCCUUCAAUCAAUCUCGUGGUCGCCAUGAUAGUGGUCGUGGUGGUUUUCAUCGCGGCAGUGGUGGCCGUGGCAAUGGUGGUGGCCGUGGAAACGGGUCUCAAGGAGGCAGCGGUAGUGGCCGCAAUUUUCAAUCUGGUGUAUUCUGCCAGCUUUGUGGCAAGGAGGGACACAUGGUCAUACGUUGCUUCAAGCGUUUCGACACCAACUUCACUGGACCACCACAAAAGAGUGCCUCUUCUGCAAACAUGGCGCCCUAUGGAGCAGAUACAAAUUGGUACAUCGACUAUGGUGCCACGGAUCACAUAACUGGCGACUUGGAAAAAUUAUCCUUCCGUGACAAAUAUCGUGGUGGAGAACAAGUACUUACUGCAAGUGGGGCAGGUAUGAAAAUUAAUCACAUUGGUCAUAGUACUUUGCAAUCCCCUAUUCGUGAUAUUCAUCUAAACAAUGUUCUUCAUGUUCCACAUGCAAAUAAAAGCCUUGUUUCUGCACAUCGUCUUGUUAAAGAUAACAAUACUUUGCUUGAACUUCAUCCACAACACUUUUCUCUUAAGGAACAGGUGACGAGGAAGACACUCCUCGAAGGAACAUGUGAGGAUGGUCUUUAUCCAUUGAAGCCUCAACCACCAGAUCAUUCUCCACCAAAUAAAUGAGUUCAAGGUCUUGGUGUUUUCAAGGCGUCUACUUCCUUGUGGCAUAGUCAUCUAGGUCAUGCGUCGUCACCUGUCGUUCAUAAAGUUCUUAGUCAUCAUAAGCUUCUGUUUUCCAAAGAAACAAAUAAUGGUGUAAUUUGUGAUGCAUGUCAGAUGGGCAAGAGUCACCAAUUGCUCUAUCCCAAAUUGAAUAGUGUUUCAUCUAAACCUUUUGAGCUUGUGUUUAGCGAUGUGUGGGGGCCGGCCCCAACCUCUGCUGGCCGUUAUUCUUACUAUGUGAGCUUUAUUGACGACUUUAGUAAGUUCACUUGGAUCUAUUUGCUUAAAUAUAAGUCUGAAGUUUUUCAGUGCUUUCGUGACUUCCAGAGCAUGGUUGAGCACCAAUUCAAUCAUAACAUACUCGCUGUCCAAUCCGAUUGGGGUGGGGAGUAUCAAUCCCUUCAUUCCUUCUUUAGUCGACUUGGUAUUGCUCACAUGUAUCCUGUCCCCAUGCACACCAACAAAAUGGGUCUGCUGAACACAAGCAUCGGCACAUAGUUGAAGUCGGCCUAUCCUUAUUAGCACAUGCAUCCAUGCCUCUUAAAUAUUGGGAUGAAGCUUUCCUGACUGCCGUUUUUCUCAUAAAUCGCCUUCCUUCCAAGGUCAUUGCCGAUGACACGCCAUAUGACCGUCUUCUUAAUAACCCACCAGAUUACUCCUUUCUUCGGACUUUUGGGUGUGCGGUAUGGCCCAACCUUCGACCAUACAACACAAAGAAGCUCGCUUUUCGAUCCCUCCGAUGCGUGUUUAUUGGGUACAGUAAUCUUCACAAGGGGUUCAAGUGUUUGGAUCCCAAAACUGGUCGUAUUUAUGUAUCCCGUGACGUUGUUUUUGAUGAAACUGUUUAUCCCUUCUCUCAGCUUCAUCCAAAUGCAGGAGCUCGCCUUCGCGCGGAGCUUGAUCUUCUUCCUGAUGUUCUUAAAAAUCCAUCACAUGAGUUUGGGACUGCUAAUGUACUUGAUCAAUGCAUGGUUAAUUCUAACCCCACUAAUGUUGUACCCAGUUCCUCCUCUGCUGUGGAUGUUACAGGUUUAAAUUCGAUGCAAAUCGGUGAAGGAACGAUGUCAAAUGAGCCAUAUUUCCUGACCGCAUCCAGCUUGGGGCAAAACGACACCAAUGGAGCUGAACCCAGUGUUGCUCCGUCUGAUCCUCGGACUGACUUGAUAGAGGGAUCUGCGUCGGGAUCGGAGAUAGAUCCUGUCUCCCUCGCGUGGACGACGCUGGCCCUGUCCUCGUCUGCCAUUUCAGGGAUUCCCGGAUCUUCUACGCCUUCAUCUACCGAGACUCCCACCUCCUCGUCGUCGCCAUCUGCCCCAUCAGAUCUGACCGGCUCCAACCCGCGUGAAUCUUCUGCGGGUGCUCUCGUGGACUCUGCAGUGCCUGACUCUUCCUCACCGCCAGCUGACUCUUCGCUUCCACAUCUCUAUGGCACCCGACUCCAGCGUGGUAUCACCAAACCGAAGCAGUACACUGAUGGUACAGUGCGUUGGCUCCUUCACAGUUCAGUCGAAGCAGCCGAGCCCAUCAGUAUCAAGGCUGCUUUGAGUGAUCAACGAUGGGUCUCUGCUAUGGACAAAGAGUAUAUGGCAUUGCUCGACAAUAAAACAUGGCAUCUUGUACCGGCACCUCGUGGCAAGAAUAUUAUCGGCAGUAAAUGGGUUUAUAAAGUGAAACGGAAAGCUGAUGGAACUAUUGAUCGCUACAAAGCUCAUCUUGUCGCUAAGGGAUAUAAACAACGCUAUGGGAUUGAUUAUGAAGAUACUUUCAGUCCGGUGGGCAAACCAUUCGCCUUGUUCUUUCUGUAGCAGUCUCUAAAGGUUGGUCUCUACGUCAACUUGAUGUUCAGAAUGCCUUUCUUCACGGUGUUCUUGAAGAAGAGGUCUAUAUGCGUCAGCCCCCAGGAUAUGAAGACAAGCAAUAUCCCAACUAUGUUUGCAAGCUGGAUAAGGCACUUUAUGGUCUUAAACAAGCCCCUCGUGCUUGGUACGCUCGUCUUUGUGGUAAACUUGUUCGGUUGGGGUUCACACCGUCCAAAGGUGAUACUUCUUUAUUCUUUUAUACAAAAGGAUCUGUCACUAUAUUUGUGUUGGUUUAUGUCGAUGACAUUAUUGUCGCAAGUUCUUCCGUGGAUGCAACACGAGCGUUGCUUCGAGAUCUUGAGGCUGAAUUUGCUUUGAAGGACCUUGGUGACCUUCACUAUUUUCUUGGGAUUGAGGUUAAACGUAACUCUGAUGGUUUGCUGUUGUCUCAACAACGAUAUGCUACUGAUGUGGUCAAGCGCGCGAAUAUGUGGCAUUGCAAACCGGUUGACACACCCAUUUCAGCUACUGAGAAACUGAGUCUCACUGAGGGAGAGGCUCUUGGAGAAGAAGAUUCUACUAAGUAUCGAAGUAUUGUUGGGGCACUUCAGUACUUAACACUUACCAGGCCAGAUUUGUCCUUUUCAGUGAAUAAAGUUUGUCAAUUUCUUCAUAAACCGGCAACAGUUCAUUGGGGUGCUGUCAAGCGGAUUAUUCGGUAUGUCAAAGGCACCUUGACAAUGGGUCUACAGCUUCGGCGAUCUACUUCUACAUUGGUCAGUGCUUUUUCUGACGCCGAUUGGGCUGGUUGUGUUGAUGAUCGGCAGUCAACAGGCGGAUUUGCUGUGUUUUUUGGUCCAAACCUUGUGUCAUGGAGUGCUAGGAAACAACCUACAGUUUCUCGUUCUAGCACUGAGGUGGAAUACAAGGCGUUGGCCAAUGCUACUGCAGAGAUGAUGUGGAUUCAAAGGUUAUUAACAGAACUUGGAAUAUCCCACUCUCCUGUUGCGCGAUUAUGGUGUGACAACAUCGGUGAGAAAUACUUGUCUGCGAAUCCAGUCUUUCAUGCCCGAACAAAGCAUAUUGAGAUUGAUUUUCAUUUUGUUCGUGAAAGAGUAGCUCAGAAGUUGCUGGAUAUACGUUUUAUUAGCACGAGUGAUCAGGUCACUGAUGGUUUUACUAAACCAGUUUCAGCAGCAAAACUGAAGGAGUUUAGAUUCAAUCUCAACCUUGUUAGUGGCUGAGAUUGAGGGAGGAUGUUAGAAUAUGUCAAUUGUAUCUAUAGGAUACUCUUCCAUAUAUGUACGAGUUGUAAUUGUAAUCUGUACAAACUCUUGUAUGUUCCCUAUAUAAUGAAAGCAUCGGGAGCCCCUGCUGGUUAUCCCGCUACUGCAUAUCUUUCUAUAACUCCAACAGUUUUGCAAAUUUUAUUUGGCAAAUGUUGUUAUUUACCAAACGAUAUGGGGAGGAAACAAUGGGCAUCUCCAAGUGUUUGAUAAUUUUGAUGUGGCAAAAAAAAAUUCUGCUGGUUCCGGAGAUCAACAAAGAAGCAUCAGGUUGUCAGCUUUCUAUAAAAGCUCGUGCAUGCAGUAUGCCAAGUCUAUUCCAGACGCGCAUAAAUGCCUAGAAAAAAGAGGAGAAUUUGCCAACUUGCUAUAAAUGCCAAGCUCAAUUGCCAAACUGUUGGAUAGGAGAUUUUGAGAGUUUUAACCAAAAAAAUAAGAAUGUCAAACCUAAUUGCAAAACUGUUGGAGUUGAGGAGCAAAUUUUCAACCUUUGUGCACCCCCCAUGUCCAAAAGAAGGCACCCUCCACCGGCCCAAGCCCAUGUGCCAUGUCGCAUGUAGCUUCCAGGAGAAGGAUGCCAAUAUGCAUGGGAAAUUUUGUCAUGCCCGUGGCCACGUGCGAGUCAGCGAGGGCAAGGAGGCCGCGGCGUUUCAUAUGCCGCAGCAAGCCAGCGACGCAACUACGCAAGGGCGGCAAGGCACCAAGCCACCAAAUUCCGCUCCCCUUCCCCUUCCCGGCUUCCCCGUCAUUGACUCGUCGAGCCAAGCUGAGCGCCUAACGGCUGCGGCAGCCGAUGUGAGCACCUCAUCCUUAAAGCCUCUCUGUUCUAGACUUUUGGUCCAAAAGUAAAGCCAAGGAAUCAAACCCUCAAUUCAUUUAUCUUGUAUUUGGUGCAAGAAGUAUGCAUGCUCCAAAGACCUUAUAAUUAGUAGUCACUUCCCAUGUUUUGGGUUUGGUGUUUUUUCAUACAUUAGUCCACCUGUGAAUGGUCAUAGUUCAUUGGUUUUUGAGACCUCAAUUUCUAGUGCUUAUUUAUAUAUCUACCAUUCUUCAUAAUAUAACUUUCUUUGGAUUCUUGCUUGUGUUAGUUCUCACUACCACAAUAAUCUUAACAAUGGCGGACAUUUUGGAUUUUAGGAGGCGGGCAAAAGAAACCCCUCUGAUGAAAGGUCACAUCAUCGACCAUUAUCCGAGGCGGUUUCAUGCAUGCCUCACUUAAUCAAAUAAAAAUAAAAAAGGAAAACCCUGGAUGAGCCCACCAAGCCCUUAUCUAGGGCCCGCCGAGCCCAUCCAUGUGCAGUGCCCGCUGCUCGCCGAUGCGCCUGCUCGUGGAGGAAGGUCCAUGCUGCCACCGAAUCCAUAGAUUUGUGUGAGGAUGAGGUUACCGCUGGAUCCACGUGGGGAGGGCCGCUGCCACGCGCGCCACGCCGCCGUUCGGCGUGGCCGGCUCGUGCACCGGCCCACAGCGCCGCUAGGCGCAGCCAGCCGACCAUGCCCCACUGCGUGCAGCUUGUAGUUGGCGACAAGGGGACGAGAGGUGCCCGUCGGGAUGGGAGGGGCGUCGGGAUGGGAGGCAAGGGGAGGGGGCCGCCGAGAUGGGAGGGAAGGGGAGGGGAGCACCGGAUAUAUACUCCGUGUGAUAUAUGAGGCCAGGACGGGUCGAGAUGGGUUAUUUGGACUCUAAGAUGGGCCACUAUUACCCGAGGCGGGCCUUCUAAAAUAACCGUCUCGGUUAAUGAUUUACCAAGGUGGUUGCAUUAUAAUAACCAAGGUAAAUAUGUAAUAACCGAGGCAGUUAUAUUACAUUGCCCGCCUCGGUAAAUAGGCAGAUGGAAAUUUUGCCUGCCUCCGAGACCCAUUCUAAAACGCCACGCAAAAGAUUUUUUGUAGUAGUGUCUAGAUUCGUAUGUAGGGAUUAGCGUUCUAGCUAGGCAAGGUCAACUAGGUAGUGACAUGGUAUAACUAGAGCAGACGUGAAUGUUGUAUGGUUUGGAUGAUCUAAAGCCUGAUUGUUGUGUCAAGUCUCCCAAAUUGGCAUUUGUUCCCACACGACGCAAGAUACAGAACUCCGUAUUAGUGUUUUCACCUUCAUCCCCUAGUCCACCAAAACAUUUUGUUUUCCCCUAUCAUCCUACAACCAUUUGUGCCAUAGACGUGGCUUAAUUAAGGUUUAGAGUCCGCCGUACGUGUUGAAGUUAUUUUCAUUGGACAUGAUGUUGCUGUUGGUGUAGCUCGUGUUUGAUUCCAGUUUGUGUGAUCCCUCUGCUCUUUUCCAUCAACUCUAAAGGCACCACCAAAAAUCUAGUAUCUUGUGCCUAAAAGCCCUUAUUCAGGCCAGACAAACUCAAAACAAGGCAAAUUUUAGAGUUUCAGAGAAUGUUGGAAAAUUAUAUAAUACAAUUAAAUACUAUAUGUAGUAACCCAUAGAUAUAAUGUCUUGUCUCCCAGAUGCAUAAGGACAUAGCAUAAUACCUCCAGCACACAUAUAUGCAACAUAUUAUCUAUCCAAUAGAAGUUUAAUAAUACAAUUAAAUACUAUAUGUAGUCCCUAGGGGAUAGAAUUCAAUAUCUCCUAUAUGCAUGAGGAGUAAGCAAUAUAUCUCUAACAGACAUGCAGCGUAUCAUCUAUCUAAUAGAAUAUAUAUAUAUAUAUAUAUAUAUAUAUAUAUAUAUAUAUAUAUAUAUAUAUAUAAUACUAUAUGUAGUACCGAAUAGAUAUAAUGUCCUAUAUCCUAGAUGCAUAAGGACAUAGCAUAAUAUCUCCAGCACCCAUGUAUGUAAAAGGAGUUUAAUAAUACAAUUAAAUACUAUGUGUAGUCCCUAGUGGAUAGAAUUCAUUAUAUCCUAUAUAUAUGCAUGAGGAGUAAGCAAUAUGUCUCUAACAGACACGCAACGUAUUAUCUAUCUAAUAGUAAUUAUUUAAUAAAGUUAAACUAUAUCCUGCAACUAUUAUAUAGAGUCCAAUAUCUCUUAGAUUCAUGGGACUAAGCAUAUUAUCUCCAAGAAUCAACGUAUUACCUAUGUGUAGAAAUUAUAUAAUACAAUUAAAUAUUAUAUGAAGUACCUAGUGGAUAGAAUUCAAUGUCAUUUGCCAAUUUUAUAUUUGGUCCAUUCUCAUCUUCAUCGACGUCUAUACCUAUAUAUAAGCCUAGCCAUCCCCACUGGAAGUUCUCACAUGUCACACCUAAACCACACAUCUUUUGCUUUGUCGAAAUUCAAUCAGGAGCUGAAGGAGGGGUCGGGCUUGCUAUUAAAUCAAACCAUAAAACACAAGCUAUAACCAUGGCAAAACUACUCUUGGGUUUGCUCCUUGUCCUUGUCAUUAUAGGGACAACGUCGGCUGAUAACUGUGCUAAAGAUGCAGAUGCCAUGAAGCAGGAGUGCAAGAAGUUCGAGGUGUUCCCUGCAAACCCAAAGUUGAAACCGUCUCCGGCAUGCUGCGCUGUGUGGCAGAGGGCGGACAUCCCAUGCCUACGCAAAAGGGUCACACCGGAAAUAGAGAAGGUGUGGUGCAUGGAGAAGGUCGUGUACGUCGCCAACUACCAAACUUGCAAGCGGCGCGGCGACGGACAGCCCGUCCCAUGUCCGCGUAAACCGCAAGCUAGCUGGCGGGCAAAGGCGGCGGCCCGCACUGGACCGUUUGCUUUUUGCGGGUUACUUUGGCGGCCCGCACUGUGCCGUUUCCCACCAAGCAGGCGGAGCCGCGAGCGAACGUGGCAGUUCAGCCGUUCAGGUCCAGUCUCCAGUCCAGUACACUACACUCCC
rnacentral:lncRNA from 1 species